rnacentral:rRNA from 2 species
GCGGAGGAAAAGAAACCAACCGGGAUUGCCCCAGUAACGGCGAGUGAAGCGGCAAAAGCUCAAAUUUGAAAUCUGGAGCCGUGCGGCUUCCGAGUUGUAAUUUGCAGAGGGAGUCUCGGAGGGCGUGUCGGCCCAAGUGCCUUGGAACAGGAUACCGCAGAGGGUGAGAGUCCCGUAUCCGGCCGACAUCGCGCUCCGUGUGAGGCCCCUUCGACGAGUCGAGUUGUUUGGGAAUGCAGCUCUAAGCGGGUGGUAAAUUCCAUCUAAAGCUAAAUACGGGCCAGAGACCGAUAGCGCACAAGUAGAGUGAUCGAAAGAUGAAAAGCACUUUGAAAAGAGAGUUAAACAGUACGUGAAAUUGUUGAAGGGGAAGCGCAUGGGGGCAGACGUGGGCGCGGGGUUCAGGGCUUCGAGAUCGGAGCGUGUACUUCCCCGCGCGCAGGCCAGCAUCGGUUCUGGGGGCCGGACAAAGGCGACGGGAACGUGGCUCUCUUCGGGGAGUGUUAUAGCCCGGCGCGCAAUGCGGCC